rnacentral:rRNA from 1 species
UACGGGGGGGGCAAGCGUUGUUCGGAAUUACUGGGCGUAAAGGGCUCGUAGGCGGCCAACUAAGUCAGACGUGAAAUCCCUCGGCUUAACCGGGGAACUGCCUUCCAGACUGCUUUGCUUGAGGCCGGGAGAGGUGAGUGGAAUUCCCAGUGUAGCGGUGAAAUGCGUAGAUAUUGGGAGGAACACCAGUGGCGAAGGCGGCUCACUGGACCGGUUCUGACGCUGAGGCGCGAAAGCGUGGGGAGCAAACGGG